GAGUCUCACCACAUCCUGACAUGAGGAAAAAGACUUUAUUGAAGACUACAAUGAGAAAAACUAUCAGACAGCAGACGGCUGCAUUCAAGUCUGUAGCUGCUGAAUUCAUGGAUGAAUCAUCUGGCACUAGAGAGGAAGACUAUCAAACAUCCACGUCAGCUGAUGGAGGUCCAAGAGUCUCACCAAACAAACAACCUACAGAGUGAAGACCUCGAAUCUGAUUGGACGGCCUCCUAUUCAGCCACAUGUGUGAACAAAUGCCUCUAAGCUGAUUUGUUUUCUAAAAUAAAUCUAGUUUGAGUCCUAA